AUCUGAAAUGGAUUAUAGGCAGCAGGAGUAGAUAGGGAAACCAAUGGGAAGACCAUGUCAGCCUUCCAGCGGAGGCUGCCAGAACCAGAGAGAUGGGGGCAGAAGCAGAAACAGAUUCUGGAUGGAUUUCAGAGGUCAUCAUGGACUGGACUUGCUGAUAGACAGAGUGGGAAAGGCUAGAGGUAGAAAGGACGGACCUAGAUGUUUCGUUCGGCAACUGUAUACACGGCGGAGCCACGCGUGGAGCGGAGGACGCAGCACGGAGGCACCGAGGUUUGGGGUGGGAAGUCCACGGUCCUCCUUCCAUCUUCGGAGGUGAAGACAGGCGCGUGAGUGGAAACGUGGAGGAGGCAGGUGGAUGUGGAAUCUGGAGAGGCCCCCCGCUAGAAUGUACGAAGGGCGACUGAUACUACCCGGGGAGAACCAGACAGGGACCAGGGGCCUCCAGUCCAAGCGCCUGGGCAGCUGGUCGUUUACAGGGAGCGCAUCAGAGACGCUGAGGAGUGCCCGCAGGGGUGAGAGCAAACCCAGAGGAAACGAUGCCCCCACAGGAAGCGCUGGGAGUGACGUGCUGAGAAGGAGGGAGUGGCCGAUGGUCAGAUCGGCCCGGAGGUGUCAAGGAAGAGGGGGGCGGCUCCUCCCCGUUCCACGCUAACAGACCGUUUCACUUAAACGUUGGUUCGGUGGCCACACAUCCAAAAAAGUGAUGUAACAAAUGCCCCAAAUGUGAAACGCCUCUUUAGACCAAUCAAAGGAGGCUCGGCCUCCCCUGUGAAGUCCAUCCUGUCUUGUACUCUCAGACCCACCCCUUCAAACUCCCAUGAAAUUGUCUCUGUCCCUUCUG